AUUGAACGCUGGCGGCAGGCCUAACACAUGCAAGUCGAGCGGCUCGGCGGACGGGUGAGUACUGCCUAGUAAUCUGCCUGGUCGUGGGGGAUAACGUCCGGUACCGGGCCCUAAUACCGCAUCCUCUCCGAUGAGCCUAGGUCGGAUUAGCUAGUUGGGGGGGUAAAGGCCUACCAAGGCGACGAUCCGUAACUGGUCGGAGAGGAUGAGCAGUCACACUGGAACGGAGACACGGUCCAGAAUCCUACGGGAGGCAGAAGUGGGGAAGAUUGGACAAUGGGCGAAAGCCUGAUCCAGCCAUGCCGCGGGUGUGAAGAAGGGCGUCGGAUUGGAAAGCACUUGAAGUUGGGAGGCGUUACCAACAGAAUAAGCACCGGCUAACUUCGUGCCAGCAGCCGCGGUAAUUC
rnacentral:rRNA from 1 species